GACGGAAUCCAAAUCUUUGUUCUGAAGCUUCUUGCACAGAGAAAGAGAUUUUAUUUUCCAGUGCUAGCAGCAAUUGUUUCAACUUCUGCCCUCUCAACUAUAAUGGCUAUUUUGUGGAGCUUCAAAAGAGAAACAGAGAAGACAAGUGGUGGUUAUCAUUUAUUAUAGUAGGAGCAGCUCUAUUGGUUCCCCUGUUCUGCUACUUAUGCUAUUCGAUAUGGAGAACAUGCAAGGCAAAAGUGGAGAGCAUAAGCAACCAAAGAAGCUAUUACAUGAGCUUGGGACGACGUUCCAC